AUGGAGGCGCGGUGCGCGCGGCCGUCGCACGUCCACCAGCUCCACGCUCACCUCCUGGUCUCCGGCCGCCUCCUCGGCGGCUCGCCGGCGCUUGCGCUCCUGCUUUUGCGCGCUGCCUGCGGCGUCCGUGCGUCCCCGUGCCUCCGUCCCCUCGCCCACCACCUGCUCGACCACGUUCCCCACCCGCCCCCGCACCUUCUCCACGCCGCCUCCCGCCUUGCGUUCCGCCUCCGCCUGACCUCCCUAGCGCUCGGCCACUACCUCGCUCUCCGCGCGGAGCACCCGGCUUUCCUCCCGCCCACCCCUGCCAUUGGCGAUGUGCUCAAGUCUGUCCCUGGCCGCGCAGCCCAUGCCCAUGCGUUACGUCUCACUGACGGAGACACGCGAUUCCUGCACAAUUCACUCAUCGCCAUGUACUUUUCCUGCGGGGAUGCCGGCCGUGCUCGUCGUGUGUUCGAGGGAAUGCGUGACUGCGACAGGGACGUUGUCUCCUGGACCUCUCUCAUCUCCGGGCUCGUGCAAAAUCACAGUCCCUUGGAAGCGUUACGGCUGUUUGCAGCGAUGAUGUGCUGUGAUGUCCGUCCUGAUUUUGUGCCGGUUGUCACAGUCCUCAAGGCGUACAUGGAGCUCAAUGACUUGCCAGGUGCCAAAUCAGCUCAUUCCUUGGUAGUCAAGGGUGGCUUUGAUGAUGAACAAGAUGUUGUGACCACACUGACGGCCAUGUAUGCCAAGUUUGGCUGCAUCAUGGCUGCAAGGGCACUCUUCGACAGGAUCCCGCCCCCACGGGUGAAUGUGAUCCUGUGGAAUGCCAUGAUAUCGGGUUACUCCAAGAACGGGCUUGCCAGCGAGGCAGUGUAUUUGUUCAAGCAGAUGCAGGUGUUUGCAAGGAGCAUGAGCCCUGAUUCUGUCACGUUGCGGUCGGUGAUCAUGGCCUGUGCUCAGCUCGGCUCCACCGAGCUCGCAGUAUGGAUGGAGGAUUAUGUACGCCGUAGUGAGUGCAGGGAGGAUGUUCUCGUGAACACAGCGUUGAUUGACAUGUAUGCCAAGUCAGGGAGCAUUGCCCAUGCGCGCAGAGUCUUUGAACAGAUGCGUGUGCAUGAGCGGGAUGUGGUAGUCUGGAGUGCAUUGAUCUCAGGUUACGGGGUGCACGGCCAUCUUGCUGAGGCCAUAGGCCUGUUUGAGGACAUGAAGCUCGCAGGGGUGAAACCGAAUGAUGUGACUUUCUUGGGGCUUUUGUCAGCGUGCAACCAUGCGGGCGCUGUGGAGAAAGGGUGGUUCUACUUUCAUUCCAUGAAACCUGACCACAAGAUCGAGCCUCGGCACCAACACUAUGCUUGUGUGGUCGACCUGCUUGCUCGUGCUGGUCAGCUUGACAGAGCAUAUCGAUUUAUACUUGACAUGCCCAUCAAACCAGAGAUGAGUGUAUGGGGUGCCUUACUUCACGGUUGCAAGAUGCACGAGCACUCAAACAUGGCCAUGGCUGAGAGGGCAGCACAGCACAUCUUUGAGUUGGAGCAGUCCAACGCGGGGCAUUAUGUGCAGCUGGCAAACAUGUAUGCGUCUGCAGGGAUGUGGAGCCAUGUUGCUGGUGUACGGGUCACCAUGAGAGAGAGGGGUGUCACCAAAGCAACUGGAUGCAGCUCCAUCGAGGUCGAUGGAAAGAUGCACAACUUCCAUGCCUGGGAUCACUCGCAUCCAAGGGCCGCUGAGAUUUUCGCCUUACUCUGCCUUCUUUCUCAAAGUCCAACUGGCCAUGAAAUGGGGCAUGCCAGCUGUUGA
rnacentral:rRNA from 1 species